CCCCACGCAAUCUCUACACUCUUCGUCGUCGGAGUCCUUCGCUCGCAUUUUCCCGUCGGACAUUUUUCUCGGGAAAAUUUCCAUGCGCUUUUGACUUUGGAAUCGAGCUCCUUUCUCGACUGAUUCGGACCGGUUCCGACCUGACUCCGAACAUCGCACAAAGUCCGAGGGAUGUCGAGAAUAGUGCCUCCGAUCCUCGCUCUGGCCUUGCCUUCGGAGACCGGUCGAGUCCUCAGCAUCCAAUCGCAUACUGUUCAGGGAUAUGUUGGCAACAAAUCAGCCGUCUUCCCUUUGCAGCUGUUGGGUUACGACGUUGACCCCAUCAAUUCAGUACAGUUCUCGAACCACACAGGUUACCCAACUUUUAAGGGUCAAGUCUUGAAUGGACAACAAUUAUGGGAACUAAUUGAAGGCCUUGAAGCGAAUGAUCUACUAUAUUAUACGCACUUGUUGACAGGUUAUAUUGGUUCAGUUUCAUUCUUGAAUACUGUGUUGCAAGUCGUCAACAAACUCCGUUCUGUAAACCCUAAACUGACGUAUGUCUGCGAUCCUGUGAUGGGUGAUGAAGGGAAGCUUUAUAUUCCUCAGGAGCUGGUGACAGUCUACCGGGAGAAGGUUGUUCCAGUGGCCUCAAUGUUGACUCCUAAUCAAUUUGAAGCCGAACUUUUGACUGGGUAUAGGAUAGUGUCUGAAAGGGAUGGCAGGGAAGUUUGUAAUAAGCUUCAUGACGCUGGACCUUCGAAGGUUGUGAUUACAAGUAUAAAUAUAGAUGGGAACCUGCUCCUCAUAGGCAGUCAUCAAAAGGAAAAGGGUCAGGCUCCUGAGCAAUUCAAGAUCUUGAUUCCAAAAAUUCCUGCUUAUUUCACGGGAACGGGAGAUCUCAUGACUGCACUUCUUCUUGGAUGGAGCAAUAAACAUCCUGACAACCUUGAUAAGGCGGCAGAGCUUGCGGUGUCAAGCUUACAGGCAGUACUUCAGAGAACAGUGAACGACUACAGAAGUGCCGAGUUCAACCCACAAUCGAGCAGCUUGGAGAUUCGAUUGAUUCAAAGUCAAGAUGAUGUUCGGAACCCACAGGUCAAUUUCGAAGCGGAAAGAUUCAACUAGGCACUAUUUGUUGUCCAAUGUCAUUCACCAUUGUAUCAGUUAUAAGACUGAUUUUAUGCUCUGGGCUGUGCUUCGAACUUUUAUUUGGUUUUGUGGCAAUAAUUAAAGGGGAAAAGGUUUCGAACUAGGGUCCAGCAAAGGGGGUACGUGGAAAUUGGAAUGGUUCAAGGGGGAGGGGGCCAUCAUCACAAUUGGUAUCAUUUGAGCAAUGGAUGCGCAUAUUUCGCCUUUUUAGAGAGUUUGAGGGCUUUAUUUUAA